ACCACAUGAUGCUUUCAUUUUGAGAAGUGAAUGUUUCAUGCAGUACUGGACAUUCAUCUAUCACCCUUGACUGAUGAAA
ensembl:snoRNA SNORD83 Small nucleolar RNA SNORD83